GCAUAUCAAUAAGCGGAGGAAAAGAAACCAACAGGGAUUGCCUUAGUAACGGCGAGUGAAGCGGCAAAAGCUCAAAUUUGAAAUCGGCCAUCAGGUCGAGUUGUAAUUUGUAGAUUGUACUUUGAGAGCGGAUUAAAGUCUGUUGGAACACAGCGCCUUAGAGGGUGACAGCCCCGUUAAAAUCUAUUCUCAUUGUAAGGUACUUUCGAAGAGUCGAGUUGUUUGGGAAUGCAGCUCUAAGUGGGAGGUAAAUUCCUUCUAAAGCUAAAUAUUGACGAGAGACCGAUAGCGAACAAGUACUGUGAAGGAAAGAUGAAAAGCACUUUGAAAAGAGAGUGAAAAAGUACGUGAAAUUGUUGAAAGGGAAGGGCAUUAGAUCAGACUUGGUGUUUUACGAUUAUCUUCUCUUCUUGAGUUGUGCACUCGUAUUUCACUGGGCCAGCAUCGAUUCGGAUGGCAAGAUAAUGGCAGUUGAAUGUGGCUUCACUUCGGUGGAGUGUUAUAGCUUCUGCUGAUAUUGCCUGUCUGGAUCGAGGGCUGCGUCUUUUGACUAGGAUGCUGGCGUAAUGAUCUAAUGCCGCCCGUCUUGAAACACGGACC
rnacentral:rRNA from 1 species